CCUACGGGAGGCAGCAGUGGGGAAUAUUGGGCAAUGGGCGAAAGCCUGACCCAGCAACGCCGCGUGAAGGAAGAAGGCUUUCGGGUUGUAAACUUCUUUUGACAGGGAAGAGCAGAAGACGGUACCUGUCGAAUAAUCCACGGCUAACUACGUGCAAGCAGCCGCGGUAAUACGGAGGUGGCAAGCGUUGUCCGGAUUUACUGGGUGUAAAGGGCGUGUAGCCGGGCUGACAAGUCAGAUGUGAAAUACGGGGGCUCAACCCCCGAACUGCAGUUGAAACUGUUGGUCUUGAGUAUCGGAGAGGCAGGCGGAAUUCGUGGUGUAGCGGUGAAAUGCGUAGAUAUUAGGAGGAACACCAGUGGCGAAGGCGGCCUGCUGGACGACAACUGACAUUGAUGCUCGAAAGUGUGGGUAUCAAACAGGAUUAGAUACCCCAGUAGUC
rnacentral:rRNA from 1 species